GAUGAACGCUGGCGGCGUGCUUAACACAUGCAAGUCGAACGAUGAAGCCCAGCUUGCUGGGUGGAUUAGUGGCGAACGGGUGAGUAACACGUGAGUAACCUGCCCUUAACUCUGGGAUAAGCCUGGGAAACUGGGUCUAAUACCGGAUAGGAGCGUCCACCGCCUGGUGGGAGUUGGAAAGAUUUAUCGGUUUUGGAUGGACUCGCGGCCUAUCAGCUUGUUGGUGGGGUAAUGGCUCACCAAGGCGACGACGGGUAGCCGGCCUGAGAGGGUGACCGGCCACACUGGGACUGAGACACGGCCCAGACUCCUACGGGAGGCAGCAGUGGGGAAUAUUGCACAAUGGGCGAAAGCCUGAUGCAGCGACGCCGCGUGAGGGAUGACGGCCUUCGGGUUGUAAACCUCUUUCAGUAGGGAAGAAGCGAAAGUGACGGUACCUGCAGAAGAAGCACCGGCUAACUACGUG
rnacentral:rRNA from 1 species